rnacentral:rRNA from 1 species
AACGAACGCUGGCGGCAGGCUUAACACAUGCAAGUCGAACGCAUCGCAAGAUGAGUGGCAGACGGGUGAGUAACGCGUGGGAACAUACCCUUUUCUACGGAAUAGCUCUGGGAAACUGGAAUUAAUACCGUAUACGCCCUACGGGGGAAAGAUUUAUCGGGGAAGGAUUGGCCCGCGUUGGAUUAGCUAGUUGGUGGGGUAAAGGCCUACCAAGGCGACGAUCCAUAGCUGGUCUGAGAGGAUGAUCAGCCACAUUGGGACUGAGACACGGCCCAAAGUCCUACGGGAGGCAGCAGUGGGGAAUAUUGGACAAUGGGUGCAAGCCUGAUCCAGCCAUGCCGCGUGAGUGAUGAAGGCCUUAGGGUUGUAAAGCUCUUUCACCGAUGAAGAUAAUGACGGUAGUCGGAGAAGAAGCCCCGGCUAACUUCGUGCCAGCCGCCGCGGUAAAAC